GGUGUCCUACGGGGCGCAGCAGUGGGGAAUAUUGCGCAAUGGACGAAAGUCUGACGCAGCGACGCCGCGUGAGGGAUGAAGGUUUUCGGAUCGUAAACCUCUGUCAGGAGGGAAGAAAGCGCAUGGCGCCAAUCAGCCAUGCGUUGACGGUACCUCCAAAGGAAGCGCCGGCUAACUCCGUGCCAGCAGCCGCGGUAAUACGGAGGGCGCGAGCGUUAAUCGGAAUUACUGGGCGUAAAGCGCGCGUAGGCUGCUGUGUAAGUUGGGGGUGAAAUCCCACGGCCCAACCGUGGAACAGCCCAUGG
rnacentral:rRNA from 1 species